CGCCAUUCUCCUGCGUCAGCCUCCUGAGUAGCCGGGACUACCGGCACCCACCACCACGCCCGGCUAAUUUUUUUGUAUUUUUAGUAGAGACGAGGUUUCACCGUGUUAGCCAGGAUGGUCUCGAUCGCCUGACCUUGUGAUCCGCCUGCCUCGGCCUCCCAAAGUGAUGGGAUUACAGGCAUGAGCCACCGCGCCCGGCCUUAAGAUCUUCACAUCACCAGUAUGAUGGAAUUGAAGCCCAAGAUUGGUAAUGUUAUGAUGGCGUUUCGCUCUUAUUGCCCAGGCUGGAGUACAAUGGCACGAUCUUGGCUCACCACAACCUCUGCUUCCUGGGUUCGAGUGAUUCUCCUGCCUCAGCCUCCCAAGUAGCUGGGAUUACAGGCAUGUGCCACCAAGCCCAGCUAAUUUUUGUAUUUUUAGUAGAGAUGGGGUUUCUCCAUGUUGUUCAGGCUGGUCUCCAACUCUCGACCUCAGGUGAUCUGCCUGCCUCGGCUUCCCAAAGUGCUGGGAUUACAGAUGUGAGCCACUGCACCUGGCCAAAGUGAAGUCUUAAUUCCUAAUUACUUUGUCUCUUCUUGUUAUUAACUUCUUUUCACUUCUUGAAUUUACUGUACUAACUGCACCAAAAGAAUAAUUUCUUGAUUAUAUAAUUCAUGCAGAAAUAAAAA
rnacentral:lncRNA from 1 species